UACGAAGGGGCUAGCGUUGCUCGGAAUCACUGGGCGUAAAGCGCACGUAGGCGGAUUGUUAAGUCAGGGGUGAAAUCCUGGAGCUCAACUCCAGAACUGCCUUUGAUACUGGCGAUCUUGAGUCCGGGAGAGGUGAGUGGAACUGCGAGUGUAGAGGUGAAAUUCGUAGAUAUUCGGAAGAACACCAGUGGCGAAGGCGGCUCACUGGCCCGUUACUGACGCUGAGGCACGAAAGCGUGGGGAGCAAACAGG
rnacentral:rRNA from 1 species